GCCGAGAAAAGCCUCUAGCGAGCUUUCACACGGCCCGUACCCCAAACCGACACAGGUGGUCAGGUAGAGAAUACUAAGGCGAUCGAGAUAACUAUGGUUAAGGAACUCGGCAAAAUGCCCCCGUAACUUCGGGAGAAGGGGGGCCUCGUUUGGUGAUCACUCUUGCAGUGUGAGCUGGGUGGGGCCGCAGAGACCAGUGAGAAGCGACUGUUUACUAAAAACACAGGUCCGUGCGAAGUCGUAAGACGAUGUAUACGGACUGACGCCUGCCCGGUGCUGGAAGGUUAAGAGGACCGGUUAGCCACUUGUGGCGAAGCUGAGAAUUUAAGCCCCAGUAAACGGCGGUGGUAACUAUAACCAUCCUAAGGUAGCGAAAUUCCUUGUCGGGUAAGUUCCGACCUGCACGAAUGGCGUAACGACUUCUCAGCUGUCUCAACCAUAGACUCGGCGAAAUUGCAUUACGAGUAAAGAUGCUCGUUACGCGCGGCAGGACGAAAAGACCCCGGGACCUUCACUACAGCUUGGUAUUGGUGUUCGGUUCGGUUUGUGUAGGAUAGGUGGGAGACUGUGAAGCGCUCACGCCAGUGAGUGUGGAGUCGUUGUUGAAAUACCACUCUGAUCGUAUUGGACCUCUAACCUCGGACCAUGAUCUGGUUCAGGGACAGUGCCUGGUGGGUAGUUUAACUGGGGCGGUUGCCUCCCAAAAUGUAACGGAGGCGCCCAAAGGUUCCCUCAGCCUGGUUGGCAAUCAGGUGUCGAGUGCAAGUGCACAAGGGAGCUUGACUGUGAGACUGACAGGUCGAGCAGGGACGAAAGUCGGGACUAGUGAUCCGGCACCGGCAAGUGGAAGCGGUGUCGCUCAACGGAUAAAAGGUACCCCGGGGAUAACAGGCUGAUCUUCCCCAAGAGUCCAUAUCGACGGGAUGGUUUGGCACCUCGAUGUCGGCUCGUCGCAUCCUGGGGCUGGAGUAGGUCCCAAGGGUUGGGCUGUUCGCCCAUUAAAGCGGCACGCGAGCUGGGUUUAGAACGUCGUGAGACAGUUCGGUCUCUAUCCGCCGCGCGCGUUAGAAACUUGAGGAAGGCUGUCCCUAGUACGAGAGGACCGGGACGGACGAACCUCUGGUGUGCCAGUUGUUCCACCAGGAGCACCGCUGGUUAGCUACGUUCGGAAGGGAUAACCGCUGAAAGCAUCUAAGCGGGAAGCCUGUUCCAAGAUGAGGUUUCUCACCCCCUCGAGGGGGUAAGGCCCCCGGCAGACCACCGGGUUGAUAGGCCAGAACUGGAAGCCAGGUAACUGGUGCAGGUGACUGGUACUAAUAGGCCGAGGACUUACCACAA
rnacentral:rRNA from 1 species